CAGAAGUACCCAUUCGCUGUGUUCUACUGCCACAAGGCGAUGAUGACGAGCGUUUACGCGGUUCCCCUCGAAGGAGAGAACGGGUUGCGUGCUAAAGCGGUUGCGGUAUGUCACAAGAACACCUCGGCGUGGAACCCAAACCACUUGGCCUUUAAAGUCCUUAAGGUGAAGCCUGGGAGUGUUCCGGUCUGCCAUUUCCUCCCUGAAACCCAUGUUGUUUGGUUCAGCUACUAGAUAUGCUUUUCUAUAUUUUGUAAUAAUAUAUAAGAAGAUCUAUAUUCUGGGAUGUUUUGUAUGUAUACAUAUAUAUAGUAAUGUGUGGUUUUCAUAUAAUCAAUGACCGAAGGCAUCUUAUAUGUUUUGCUUUACGGAGUCUUCUGUGACCUACUUGCUUCUUGUUGUUUAGCAAGAACUAGGUUAAGACCCGCGCCUUGCGCGGAAUGAAUAUUAAAUAUAAAUUAUUUUUAAGUAUUAUAUAUUUUUUACAUAUUAUGAAAUAAUAAAUAUAUAUUGAAUAAUUAAAAAUUUAGUAACUAUACCGUAUAUAAUUAAAUUGGUACAAAUACUUAAAUAAAUUUUAUUAAUCGAGACAAACACUUUUUCUAUUUUAUAUAUGCUAUAAAAUUAAGUUUACAUGAUAUUAACAUAGAUAUAUAGUACAUUUUUAAUAGUGACAUCUGUUUAAAAAAUAUUUUAUACUCAUAUUAUUUUGAUAGUUUGUAUUUCUUUAUAACAAAAAAAAUAAAUCAAUGAUAACAAUAAAAAAUUUGUGGGAUGUUUAAUAGUUUUAGUAAUUUAUAAUUUUAUAAACAUUCAAUGCAAAAUCUAAAAUCUAAAUAUUAAGUUUUCAAUAAUUGUUCAAAAUGUUUAUCAAAAAGAUUUAAAGCAAAUUCGAAAUUAAUUUAGUUAUCCUCAACUAUUUUCAAAUACUUUUAAUAGAAUUUUAAAUUAAAAAUAUAUAUUUAGUGAUGUUAUAUGUAUAUAUAAUUAAUAUUUUUAUAUAUUAAGGUACCCGUUCGGUUCUCGGUUCGGUUCCGGUUCGGUUCGGUUAUUUCGGAUAUAAAAAUAUAGGAACCGUUCGGUAUUUGAGGGUAUUGGUACGGUUCCGGUUUCGGGUAUUUCGGUUCGGUUCCGGUUUGGUUCUUCGGUUCCGGUUAUUUUGCCCAGACCUAGUUUUUUGGUUGUUUGGAAUUAAAAUAUCUUAUGGGUUUUCUAAAUCAAUAUAAUUGAUUUGACUAAAGCUAUCUUGGAUAACAAAAAGAAGGAUUGCAAGUUUAAUAACUUCUCCUUUAGACUUUAAUUUCAACUAAAUUAUAAUCAGUCUUUUAUCUAUAUCAUCUUAGAUAUAAACGUAAGGGUUUAUUAGAAUAAAUAAACAGUUUCAACACUAUUUAAUAUGUGAUUUAAUAAACAAAAGAACACGUAGGAGUUUUAGGAUUUAAAGAGAUUGGAGACAAUAGUUAAUGAAUAUGAAAAGAAUACGAAGCAGAUGAAGAAAAAUGAUUCGAGCAAAUUAGUGGCAACACAUAGCUAAGCGAGAUAAAAAUAUCAAUAAAAAAAUGAAAGAAGAAUGAACAGAGUUAAGUUAUUACACAAGCCAAAACUAAGACAAAUCAAACGACAGAACGUGAAAACAAAUGUAAACAAGACAAGUGGAGAGGGUAAAGAUAAAAUGUAUUGAAAAACUGAAUGCUAGAUUAGUAAGUAAGAGGUAAAAAAAAUUAAAAUGCAAAAACUCCGUGCCUUGACGCGGAUAACGAUCCGUAGUGAAAUGAAAAAAAGAGAGGAUAAGAACUCUUGCUGCGCAUGAUGUUGCCUUUUUCAUGUACGUUUUAUGUACAUCACUAACUAAUAUAAGUAUGUGUUACUCUACUUUUGUUGGGGUGAGAGUUUCUACAAAAUUAUUUGUAAAAUUUGUAUGAUCUUGAAUCAAUAACAUUAAAUACAUCGAUGUACACCCAUUCUCCAACCAUUGAUAAUAAAAUAAGUCGAACACUAAUAAUCAAAACGAACGUGUUGGUAAGGUAUAAAUGAGUUAGUUGUUCGUUUUAAUUUUCUCUUUGUCUGAAAAGUCCACACGCAAGUUGAAGUUACGACUACGAUAUACACACUCUAUAAAGGUUUGGGUUUGAAUCCUUUAUUGAUCGAAGUGAACAAAUCCAUGCCCACAUGACACCGAAGAACCGUCGUAACAUGCCGGUGACCAACCUUCAUUAAUGCCUCUCUAACUUUGGAAUAAUUAUUUGGUUUUGAAAAGGAAAUUACCAUAUCUCUUAAGGAUUUUUUUAUCAUAGAACAUACUUUUACGUGCAGAUUUUUUAUCUAUCUCAUUAUCGAUUUAUUUUCUUGAGUGGUCAAAGACUCGAAGUCACCUACUGGAUAGUGCCAGUCUUGAAAUUUUCGGGUUGAAUACAAAACUAAAUAUAUAGGUCCUCAAAACAUUCCCAACUCAUUAUUAUUUUCAACUCUAUAAUAAUAUUGAGAAGUAAAAUUGCUCCAACACACUUCUAUUUUUCCUUUAAAAUAAAUAUUGCUAUUUUUCUAUUUAUAGAAGAAGAAAUAACAUUUUUCUAUUUUUACUAGCUCUAUAUUUAGAUAUUGAUAUUUUAGAAAAAUAAAUUAGAACAUAUCUCAUCUCUAUUAUAGAGUUCUUCUAUAUUAGAGGUAAAGAUAACAAAAUACAUUGGAGAUAGUCUGAGUGAUAUAUUGAAAUUGAAGUUUACAAUUAAAAAUUUACAAUAUCCCUAAAACUUAUAAAAGUAUCAAUUCUGAAACUAUCUUUCUAUUUCAUUUUAUGUAAAAGAAAGAAAAAAAUACUCAAGCAUUUAUAAUGAUAUUUGUUUGAAAUAGGUUUAAGUAAAACUCAUUUUCCUUUCUUGUGCUAAUAACAAAAAAAAAUAUAAACCUAAAAACUAUAUAAAUUGUAUGCCGCCCCAUACCAAUGUAUCUUAGGCACGUGUUCAAGGUCGGGCCUGCUGCUGGAGUAAAUGGACAUGCACCAAGGAAGAAAAUAUCAAGGUCUCCAGGAAUACAGAGAAAAUACUUACACAAUAUUCAACGCAUAAGUAAGAUAGUGAACAACAAAAUAAUAAGGCAAUCACAAAGGAUUGUGUGGUUGCAAACGAGUGUGUUUGUGAUAUAAGUGUUUAUCCUGAUAAAAUCAUAUAUAUUUUUCUGGAAAAUGGAGAGGCCCUAUUGAUUCAUAUUUUAUAAGAGAGUAUCCAUUCAGAUACCAAAUAUUUGAAUGAUGUGGUGUUUGGAUAAUCCACAUGUGGGCGUUUCGCGUGAACCACACUAAAUAGGUUCGGCUAGUUAGACUUCCUUCAAGACACUAUCAGAAUAUCCCCAGCGAGUAGGUUGACAUGGUCGCACAAUAAUACCUUGACAGCCCAAAUUAAGGACCUACGUGAUAGAAGACGACGUCGUAUGUAACAUAACACACAGCAAAAAAAAUACAGGUGAAGUUAAUUAAAAACACUUGUCCACACAUGGGAACAAGAACAGUUAAGGAGUUGAAGGCAACUGGUGGUUAGGGAGCUAGUAUGCGACUUAAUUUAACCGGCUUAAAUAGAUUGGUAAGUGUUAGCCGUCUAUAUCCAUACUUUAAUAUACUUCAACCUCAGAUCUUCUACUAAAACCCUUGCAUUAUAAAUUCUACGUACACUCCAACUUCUUCUCCUCAAAUUCAUCAAAAAUACAUUUCUAUUCUAACUCCCACAGAAAUGGCGAUUCGUCUUUCGUUGAUAUGUCUUCUUGUUUCAGUCACGGCCAUUGCGGCUGAUUUAACACCGGAGCGUUAUUGGAUCUCUGCCUUACCAAACACUCCCAUACCAAACUCUCUUCGCCAUCUUUUUACGUCAGGUUGAAAUUCUUUUUCACUUUAACAUGCCAUAUUUGUUUCCUUCUAGUUUUGUGAAACACUGUUUAUUUCUAAUUUCUCUACGAUCUGCUUAUGUAUAUAUAUUAUGAUUUUCUAUAGUUUAAAAUGUUUUUCCAAGUUUUAUAUUUACGGAGAUAUAAGAAAAGGAAAAUGAUAGACCUAAAUGCAAAGAAAAAUAUGGUUGAGUCCUUAUUACAAUUCCUAUAUAUUAUACUACUAUUUAUAUAUAUUAUAUAACAUGUAUUUGAAGUUGUGUCACAAGCUGAUUGGUUACACAAUCGCUAGUAAUUUUUGGAAGUGUACGUUAAUAGCCAAUUGAUGUCUCCUUACCAAAUUAUUUCAUUGUUGAAGAUUUUAGCGACGAGAAAAGCACCAACGUCCAAGUAGGGAAAGGAGGCGUGAACGUUUACACCGGAAAAGGUAAGCAUGGCGGAGGAACCGCCGUGAACGUUGGAAAGGGAGGUGUACAUGUGGACACCGGCAAGGGUAAGGGAACACACGUGAGCGUUAGCGGUGGAAAAGGUCACGGCGGAGGCGUCGGCGUCCACACCGGGAAGCCAGGAAAGAGAACCGACGUAGGAGUUGGCAAAGGUGGCGUUAUAGUGCACACGCGCCACAAGGGAAAGCCGGUCUACGUCGGCGUGAAACCAGGACAUAACCCUUUUGUGUAUAACUAUGCAGCGAGCGAGACUCAGCUCCACGACGAUCCCAAAGCGGCUCUCUUCUUCUUGGAGAAAGACAUGGUUCCCGGAAAAGCUAUGAACCUCAGGUUUAAUGCGGAGGACGGCUACGACGGCAAAACUGCGUUCUUGCCGCGCGGAGAGGCGGAAACGGUGCCGUUCGGGUCUGAGAAGUUCUCGGAGAUCUUGAACACGUUCUCGGUGAAACCUGGCUCGGGAGAAGCUGAGAUGAUGAAGAAAACGAUUGAGGAGUGUGAAGCGAAAAGAGUCGGUGGAGAGGAGAAGUAUUGUGCUACGUCUUUGGAGUCGAUGGUGGACUUUAGCGUUUCUAAACUUGGCAAAGAUCACGUCCGUGCUGUCUCCACUGAGGUACAAAAAAAAAGAAACCAUAAACUAAUCAAAUCUAUUUUUCGGUAUAGGAUUAGAUGAACCGGACUUGAGCAUAGCCAAAUGAAGUAGUUUUAAGUUUCUAAUUUUUUUUUGAGUUAAUAUGUAUAUAUAUGAAGAUAAGCCUUUAAAUUGUUAAUGUUCUUUUGCUAAACCCUUACUCAAUUGUUUAAGCGUCCCAAAAUCUUUGAGUCGACUAUGUCUGAUUAGACUUAAAUUUUGACAAAAAAACAAGAAACUAAAUAAAAUAUUUGCAACCAGAUUUGGUUAUGCUCGGUUUUUUAGGUUUUCGCUUAUAUUUGGAUUCCGUUCUAUUUCAGCUAAAAAGACAUUUAAGUUUGGUUCGGUCUAGUUUCGUUUUGAUAUAAACGCCUAUAUUGUUUUAUGUCUAUAAUAUUCUGGUUGAUCGAUGUGACCUUGGUUUCCACAGGUGGCUGAGAAGAAUGCACCGAUGCAAAAGUACAGAAUCGCAGCGGCCGGGGUAAAGAAGUUGUCAGACGACAAGUCAGUGGUGUGUCACAAACAGAAGUACCCAUUCGCGGUGUUCUACUGCCACAAGGCGAUGAUGACGAGCGUUUACGCGGUUCCCCUCGAAGGAGAGAAUGGGUUGCGGGCCAAAGCGGUUGCGGUAUGCCACAAGAACACCUCGGCGUGGAACCCAAACCACUUGGCCUUUAAAGUCCUUAAGGUGAAGCCUGGGACUGUUCCAGUCUGCCACUUCCUCCCUGAAACCCAUGUUGUUUGGUUCAGCUACUAGAUAUGCUUUUCUAUAUUAUGUAAUAAUGUAUACGAAGAUAUAUAUUCUGGGAUGUUUUGUAUGUAUACAUAUAUAUAGUAAUGUGUGGUUUUGAAUCUUUUUACCUCUGUGUAGCGACACAAGGUUCGGAAGCUAUGUCUACGGUCUAACAAAGCAAGUGUGAAGAGUUUUAUCUCCUGUGUUUAAUCAUCAAGAAUUGUACAUGGGAAAAAAAAGAAAGAACGAAUUGUACAUGAGAAGGAGAACACAUAGAAAAGAGUCACGAGGUUUUGAUAGUUUCUAUAAUACAGUGCCAUACAAAGAACAUGUCCAUCCAACCCCGAC
rnacentral:lncRNA from 1 species